UACAUAGGUCUCAAGCGUUGUUCGGAUUCAUUGGGCGUAAAGGGCUCGUAGGCGGCCAACUAAGUCGGACGUGAAAUCCCCAGGCUCAACCUGGGAACUGCAUCCGAUACUGGAUGGCUUGAAUUCGGGAGAGGGAUGCAGAAUUCCAGGUGUAGCGGUGAAAUGCGUAGAUAUCUGGAGGAAUACCGGUGGCGAAGGCGGCAUCCUGGACCGACAUUGACGCUGAGGAGCGAAAGCCAGGGGAGCAAACGGG
rnacentral:rRNA from 1 species